GAUGAACGCUGACCGAAUGCUUAACACAUGCAAGUCAACUGUGGCGGACGGGUGAGUGACGCGUAAAGAACUUGCCUCACAGCUAGGUACCACGUUUGGAAACGAAUGCUAAUACCUGAUACUGUGAGAGAGCUUUGCGUGCCAUUCGCUAGUUGGAGAGGUAACGGCUCACCAAGGCGAUGAUGGGUAGCCGGCCUGAGAGGGUGAUCGGCCACAAGGGGACUGAGACACGGACCUUACUAAUACGGGAGGCAGGAGUGGGGAAGUUUGGACAAUGGACCAAAGUCUGAUCCAGCAAUUCUGUGUGCACGAUGAAGUUUUCGGAAUGUAAAGUGCUUUCAGUUGGGAAGCAGUACCAACAGAAGAAGUGACGGCUAAAUACGUGCCAGCAGCCGCGGUAAUUC
rnacentral:rRNA from 1 species